GUAGUCAUAUGCUUGUCUCAAAGAUUAAGCCAUGCAUGUCUAAGCACAAACUGUACGACGGUGAAGCUGCGAAUGGCUCAUUAGGUCACCCAUAAUUUCUUGGAUCGUACAAUCCUACUUGGAUAACUGUGGUAAUUCUAGAGCUAAUACAUGCUUUAAAGCUCCGACCCCUCCGGGGGAAAGAGCGCGUUUAUUAGAUCAAAACCAAUCGGAGCUUCGGCUUCGUUCUUCUGGUGACUCUGGAUAACUUUGUGCGGAUCGCACGGCCUUCGCGCCGGCGAGGUAUCUUUCAAGUGUGUGCCCUAUCAACUGUCGAUGGUACGCGAUAUGCCUACCAUGGUUGCAACGGGUAACGGGGAAU
rnacentral:rRNA from 1 species